GACGAACGCUGGCGGCGUGCCUAAUACAUGCAAGUCGAGCGCUGAAGGCUGGUACUUGUGCCAACUGGAUGAGCAGCGAACGGGUGAGUAACGCGUGGGGAAUCUGCCUUUGAGCGGGGGACAACAUUUGGAAACGAAUGCUAAUACCGCAUAAAAACUUUAAACACAAGUUUUAAGUUUGAAAGAUGCAAUUGCAUCACUCAAAGAUGAUCCCGCGUUGUAUUAGCUAGUUGGUGAGGUAAAGGCUCACCAAGGCGAUGAUACAUAGACGACCUGAGAGGGUGGUCGGCCACAUUGGGACGGAGACACGGCCCAAAGUGCUUCGGAAAGGAGCAGUAGGGAAACGUCGGCAAGGGGCGGAAGUCUGUCCGAGAAACGCCGCGUGAGGGAAGAAGGUUGUCGGAUCGGAAAACUCUGUUGGUAGGGAAGAACGUUGGUGAGAGUGGAAAGCUCAUCAAGUGACGGUAACUACCCAGAAAGGAACGGCUAACUACGUG
rnacentral:rRNA from 1 species